UACCAGCACCCCGAGUGGUCUGGACGUUUAUUGGGCCUAAAGCAUCCGUAGCCGGUUCUACAAGUCUUCCGUUAAAUCCACCUGCUUAACAGAUGGGCUGCGGAAGAUACUAUAGAGCUAGGAGGCGGGAGAGGCAAGCGGUACUCGAUGGGUAGGGGUAAAAUCCGUUGAUCCAUUGAAGACCACCAGUGGCGAAGGCGGCUUGCCAGAACGCGAUCGACGGUGAGGGAUGAAAGCUGGGGGAGCAAACCGG
rnacentral:rRNA from 1 species